UGGGGAAUAUUGGACAAUGGGCGAAAGCCUGAUCCAGCCAUGCCGCGUGUGUGAAGAAGGUCUUCGGAUUGUAAAGCACUUUAAGUUGGGAGGAAGGGCAUUAACCUAAUACGUUAGUGUUUUGACGUUACCGACAGAAUAAGCACCGGCUAACUCUGUGCCAGCAGCCGCGGUAAUACAGAGGGUGCAAGCGUUAAUCGGAAUUACUGGGCGUAAAGCGCGCGUAGGUGGUUUGUUAAGUUGGAUGUGAAAUCCCCGGGCUCAACCUGGGAACUGCAUUCAAAACUGACUGACUAGAGUAUGGUAGAGGGUGGUGGAAUUUCCUGUGUAGCGGUGAAAUGCGUAGAUAUAGGAAGGAACACCAGUGGCGAAGGCGACCACCUGGACUAAUAUUGACACUGAGUUGCGAAAGCGUGGGGAGCAAACA
rnacentral:rRNA from 1 species